rnacentral:rRNA from 1 species
CACGGGAGACACACGGCGGGUGCUAACGUCCGUCGUGAAGAGGGAAACAACCCAGACCGCCAGCUAAGGUCCCAAAGUCAUGGUUAAGUGGGAAACGAUGUGGGAAGGCCCAGACAGCCAGGAUGUUGGCUUAGAAGCAGCCAUCAUUUAAAGAAAGCGUAAUAGCUCACUGGUCGAGUCGGCCUGCGCGGAAGAUGUAACGGGGCUAAACCAUGCACCGAAGCUGCGGCAGCGACGCUGAUGCGUUGUUGGGUAGGGGAGCGUUCUGUAAGCCUGCGAAGGUGACCUGUGAGGGUUGCUGGAGGUAUCAGAAGUGCGAAUGCUGACAUAAGUAACGAUAAAGCGGGUGAAAAGCCCGCUCGCCGGAAGACCAAGGGUUCCUGUCCAACGUUAAUCGGGGCAGGGUGAGUCGACCCCUAAGGCGAGGCCGAAAGGCGUAGUCGAUGGGAAACGGGUUAAUAUUCCCGUACUUGGUGUUACUGCGAAGGGGGGACGGAGAAGGCUAUGUUGGCCGGGCGACGGUUGUCCCGGUUUAAGCGUGUAGGUGUGUGUUCCAGGUAAAUCCGGUUCACUUUAACACUGAGGCGUGACGACGAGGCACUACGGUGCUGAAGCAACAAAUGCCCUGCUUCCAGGAAAAGCCUCUAAGCAUCAGGUAACAUCAAAUCGUACCCCAAACCGACACAGGUGGUCAGGUAGAGAAUACCAAGGCGCUUGAGAGAACUCGGGUGAAGGAACUAGGCAAAAUGGUGCCGUAACUUCGGGAGAAGGCACGCUGACACGUAGGUGAAGUGAUUUACUCAUGGAGCUGAAGUCAGUCGAAGAUACCAGCUGGCUGCAACUGUUUAUUAAAAACACAGCACUGUGCAAACACGAAAGUGGACGUAUACGGUGUGACGCCUGCCCGGUGCCGGAAGGUUAAUUGAUGGGGUCAGCGUAAGCGAAGCUCCUGAUCGAAGCCCCGGUAAACGGCGGCCGUAACUAUAACGGUCCUAAGGUAGCGAAAUUCCUUGUCGGGUAAGUUCCGACCUGCACGAAUGGCGUAAUGAUGGCCAGGCUGUCUCCACCCGAGACUCAGUGAAAUUGAACUCGCUGUGAAGAUGCAGUGUACCCGCGGCAAGACGGAAAGACCCCGUG